rnacentral:rRNA from 1 species
CCUACGGGGGGCAGCAGUGAGGAAUAUUGGUCAAUGGACGAGAGUCUGAACCAGCCAAGUAGCGUGAAGGAUGACUGCCCUAUGGGUUGUAAACUUCUUUUAUAUGGGAAUAAAAUGUUCCACGUGUGGGAUUUUGUAUGUACCAUAUGAAUAAGGAUCGUCUAACUCCGGUCCAGCAGCCUCGGUAAUACGGAGGCUCCGAGCGUUAUCCGGAUUUAUGGGGUGUAACGGGAGCGUAGGUGGAUUGUUAAGUCAGUUGUGAAAGUUGGCGGGUCAACCGUAAAAUUGCAGUUGAAACUUACAGUCUUGAGUACAGUAGAGGUGGGCGGAAUUCGUGGUGGAGCGGGGAAAUGCGUAGACAUCACGAAGAACUCCGAUUGCGAAGGCAGUUCACUGGACUGCAACUGACACUGAGGCUCGAAAGUGUGGGUAUCAAACAGGAUUAGAUACCCCUGUAGUC